GGAUGCCAAUUCAGGGGUUUAUAUGCACUUUGUUGGACUAUUUUGGUGGACAUGGGAAAAUGAGACAAUGAAAUAGUGUGGUGGUUGCCACUUUUAGCUAGGCUUCUGAUAUGAGGAGGGUCAGACUUGCCUUGCAACCAAAUUUCCCAGAGUUAAUCUCAGUUUACCCAGGCCUUUGUCCUUUGAAAUGAUCAGGCCUCCAUUUUUAUCCAGGCCCUUUGACUUUAGGGAAACAGACUUCCCCUCCCUCCCCACCAGCUUCCCCAGCAUGCUUCAGUGAGCCCCUUUCUAUUGUACUGUAUUCUAAUUUUCAUAAGGCUUAUCUUGGUUUAGUCAGGUCCCAAUCCUGGCUGCCUAUCUCAUAGUCUACCUCUUGGCCUCAAAAGCACCGAACUCUCUUCCAAGUGGCUGUUCCAUUUUGUAUUCCCACAAGCAAUAAAUGAGUGCUGUAGCUGGGUGUGGUAGCCCAUGCCCAUAAUCCCAGCCCUCUGGGAGAGACUGAGACAGGCAGAAGGAUCACAGGUUUGAGCCUAACCUGGUCAAUUUACAACUUAGCAAACUCUGUCUCAAAGUAAAAAAAAAAAAAAAGCAUUUGAGAUGUAGCUCCAUACGAAGGCCCUGGGUUCAAUCUCCAGAAGCACCACCACCGUCACACAAAAAACUAAAAAAUAAAUUAGGGUAAGUGUUGGGUGAAAAGAGCUGAAAACCAGGACCAGCCCAGGACCAUAACAAGCCUUGAUUAUGGGGAGGACCUGCCAGGCUGUCUCUGAACAAAGGAGAGAAAGCAAUAUGGCCAAAACAGGGAGCAUUUCUUAUUAGGGCUGUGGUGAGGCUGAUAGGAGCUGGGGUGGGACUGAGUGAUGUAGUGGCUAGGGAUUGGGGGAUCUUGUGACAUCACUAGGGGGGGCUUGUGUCAUCACUAGUUGCCAGGAGGAAGCGAAUAUCAGGUUACUGGCUUGGUGGGAGGAGGCAUGAUGGGAAGAAGAAAGCUGUCCUUUAGUUCAAGAAGCCAUAUUUUUAGACUUUCCCAGCUUGGUUCUUCUACUGGUUACCUAAGAGCAAGUCUUCAAAAGGGAAGAUACAGUUGGGAAGACACCAGGGGCACCAAGAAUCAAGGAUGGGUGGCCUGGAGCGAAGGAGAGGAGGCACCACUUGGGACAUCCCCCAAGCCUGCUGCCUUGUCAGGAGGCUGCUCGAGGAAGAUAUAUUCUGAUGAGAAAUCUCGGCCCCCAAAUUCAUUUUUCAAAGAAGCCAAGCAGAUCUGGUGAUUUAUUCUCUGUCAUUCUGAUCCCAGCA
rnacentral:lncRNA from 1 species